AGGCGGGGGGAGGGGUCGACCCCGACCCCCGCCCGCCCCCCCCCCGUCCCCCAGCGGUGACCCCCUCGGCAGCAGCCCGUGGGGGGGCCUGAGAACUCAGCAACCGCCCCCCCCCCGCACCAGCCUCCGCCGCCUCCCCUGGGCGCCCCCACACACUCCCCUACCUCACACUCCACUUCCGGGUCCGUGCGCCACCAUCGAGAGGAGAGGACAGCGGGGCGCCCUGCGCUGCAGCGCCACCUGCUGUCUCUACCUGGCUGGAGAGCAGAGAACUGAUCCUCUCUCAGGGCUUGUAAGGCCACGAACUCUGUCCCCCAGAUCCCAUUGUCCUCUGCAAAGUGAAGUAGACACCGGCAACGUGCAGCAGAACGUGAAACCAGCCCGCACAGACACUGCUUCACGGAGGAUCCCCCCCCAGGAUGGUAGACAACAACAGCAUCCAAAUGCUGAGUGGAAUCAAACGGAAAGCCAUGUCAUCGACGGGCUGACAACGGGGACAGGAAAAUUAGCAUCAGCACCGC